rnacentral:rRNA from 1 species
UACGGGGGGGGCAAGCGUUGUUCGGAAUUACUGGGCGUAAAGAGCUCGUAGGUGGUUUGUCGCGUUGUUCGUGAAAUCUCACGGCUUAACUGUGAGCGUGCGGGCGAUACGGGCAGACUGGAGUACUGCAGGGGAGACUGGAAUUCCUGGUGUAGCGGUGGAAUGCGCAGAUAUCAGGAGGAACACCGGUGGCGAAGGCGGGUCUCUGGGCAGUGAACUGACGCUGAGGAGCGAAAGCGUGGGGAGCGAACAGG